AACGAACGCUGGCGGCAUGCCUAACACAUGCAAGUCGAACGAGACCUUCGGGUCUAGUGGCGCACGGGUGCGUAACGCGUGGGAACCUGCCCUUAGGUUCGGAAUAACUCCCAGAAAGGGGUGCUAAUACCGGAUAAUGUCUUCGGACCAAAGAUUUAUCGCCUUUGGAUGGGCCCGCGUUGGAUUAGCUAGUUGGUAGGGUAAAAGCCUACCAAGGCGACGAUCCAUAGCUGGUCUGAGAGGAUGAUCAGCCACACUGGGACUGAGACACGGCCCAGACUCCUACGGGAGGCAGCAGUGGGGAAUAUUGGACAAUGGGCGAAAGUCUGAUCCAGCAAUGCCGCGUGAGUGAUGAAGGCCUUAGGGUUGUAAAGCUCUUUUACCCGGGAUGAUAAUGACAGUACCGGGAGAAUAAGCUCCGGCUAACUCCGUG
rnacentral:rRNA from 1 species